UACACACCGCCCGCCACAUCACGAAAGCCCGUUGUACUAGAAGCCGGUAAUUCAACCCGCAAGGGAGAUAGCCGUCCAAGGUAUGACUGGUGAUUGGGGUG
rnacentral:rRNA from 1 species